rnacentral:tRNA from 1 species
GCCAGCAUGGUGUAGUGGUUUGAGUGCUGGACUAUGACUCUGGAGAUUAGGGUUCAAAUCCUCAUUCAGCCA